CCCUUAGAUGUUCUGGGCCACACGCGCGUUACACUGAUGAGGCCAGCGAGUAUAUCGCCUUCACCGGAAGGUGCGGGUAAUCUUGUGAAACUUCAUCGUGCUGGGGAUAGACCAUUGCAAUUAUUGGUCUUGAACGAGGAAUUCCUAGUAAGCAUGAGUCAUCAACUCGUGCUGAUUACGUCCCUGCCCUUUGUACACACCGCCCGUCGCUACUACCGAUUGAAUGGUUUAGUGAGAUCUCGGGAUUGGAGACGUUGCGCCGCAAGGCACAUCGUCCUCGAGAACUUGAUCAAACUUGAUCAUUUAGAGGAAGUAAAAGUCGUAACA
rnacentral:rRNA from 1 species